rnacentral:lncRNA from 1 species
UUUGGAUUCAUGGCUGCAGAACCCUCUGCUACCAAGGGCUGACUACGCUUACAUUCUCCCCUGCUCAUCUUGACACAUACGGUACUUUGAGAGGUAGUACAGUUCUUAGCUCAGUUGUCACUUUAACAACUGCAUAAGGUGGAGAUUUCGUCUCACUGGACCAUGGCAGAGGGUUGAAGGUUAGCCCCAUGGUCAGAUGAAAAAACCAGAGUCCACAGACCACCGUGUCCUGAACAAUGUGCACACUUUGCUGGGUGACACCUGAUUCUGUUACUAAUCCAGAGACAUAUGUAGGUUCAGGGGAUCUAAUUAAUUAUCUCUGAUGUGCUUGUCAUAGUCUACUGUAUACAUUAAUAACUCAUUGUACAAAGACUCAAAGAUGAAUGCCUUCUCUGUGUCUGUGAUCCUCAUUGCAUCCUUUAGGCAGGAUUCCAGAGCACUCCCAGAAGUGGGCGCUCUUCCUGCGGAAGAUUCUCAUCCGUGGAGUCGUUGCUCCUCACGAGGGCGGGGAGCCCUCUGCUCUCCAGGGAGAGACGUGGAAGUCCACCACAGAUCCCCAUGAGCACCCCCAAGAAGUUAUUGUAUUCAGAGGAGAUGUGGUGCACUAGUGGCAUGGACGUCAUUGGUUCAGCGACAGGAGAAGCACGCGCGCUCCUGAGCCCGGCAGCUGCUUUCUUGGAACGCACGGUGAGGCGGAAAAGCAGUGGCCCCUCCAUAAAGCAUGAGCACGGGUGGCCCUUCAGAUGCUCACGACACAGAUGCCGAGAACGUGGGGACUGGAGACACGGAAGUGUCAAGGGGGGAAAAGUGAUGUAAUCUGUAAGGUUUUUUUAAAAAAAGAAACUGCUAAAGUUGCAGUAUAAAGUAAAGUAUAAUGUUCUGUAUCUGGUAAAAUGGCCAUUUUUCCACUCAAUUAUUAUUUAUAGCCAUUGUCUAUGUUCCCACUAUACUAGGGUCUUUAUGCUUUUUACUUGUUAAAUUUCUUAUUCAGUGAAGCAUUAAGCCUUUUUAAUGUAAUGUAAAUUGAAAAUAUGUUAUCUCAAAGACUAAAGAGGGAAAGGGAGAAGGAGGGAGGGAGAGAGGAGGGACUAUCAUUAUAUUCUUAGAAUUGUUUCUAUGAACUGUAUUGAAUCUUAAAAACUACUGGAAAAAUUGAAAACCUGACAUCUUAAAAGUAAAAAAAAAGAUUUUGAAAGAACAAAGGAUUUUUAGUGCAAAAACAUUAAAUAUAAAAAUAGUAUAAAAUUAAGCAAAGUGAGAUUUUAUGAAUAAGAAAAUGAGACUCUAAUUUAUUAAGUUGAAAGACUGAAAACUAGAUAUUGGACCAGCCUGGCCUCCCUGUGGGCUCUGUGGAAGGAGCCGGGGAGUCGGCCGGGGCACGUCCACCACUGCAAGCCCUGAGGACAAGCCCCUCACAGAGGUGCUGUCUUAGCCUUUGCCUCCCCACAGAUUUCCGUGGGAGUGGACAUGGCAGGCCCCGCCCAGCCUCCUCACUCUCACCAGAGUGGCCGUGGAGAAGCGCCCCCUGUACCUCUUGCCCAAGACACUGCACGGUGCAUACAGGCUGCGCCUGGCCUCAAACACAGGUAUCCAGGUGACUUCUUAUAAAAUGUCUAUAUUUAUUUAUUCUUACGCAAAAGACAGUGAGACAGAUAGAGAGAUGGGAACUUUGCGUCAUGGGUUCACUCUCCAGUAUACUCACUAAGAGCCAGGGCAGGGCCAGGCUGAAGUAAGGAGCUAGGAGCUCAAAUCAGUUUCCCAGGUUGGGGGCAGGAACCCGACUAUUUCAGCCGUCACCUGUUGCCCCUCAGGUGUG